rfam:Loxodonta africana unplaced genomic scaffold scaffold_34, whole genome shotgun sequence.
ACAGUGGUGGUCUAGUGGUAGAAUUCUUGCCUUCCAUUCAGGAGACCUGGGUUUGAUUCCCAGCCAAUGCA